CUGUAGACUUAAUUGAAUUGAGCCUUGGUAUGGAAACCUACUAAGUGAGAACUUUCAAAUUCAGAGAAACCCCGGAAUUAAUAAAAAUGGGCAAAUCCCGAGCCAAAUCCUAUUUUCCAAAAACAAACAAAGGCCCAGAAGGUGAAAAGGGGAUAGGUGCAGAGACUCAAUGGAAGCUGAUCUAACAAAUAGCCACUUUCCGUACAAACUAAGUGAUCUUUUAAGAUUAUUCCUAUAAUUGCUGAUGAG
rnacentral:ncRNA from 1 species